AUUGAACGCUGGCGGCAGGCCUAACACAUGCAAGUCGAGCGGUGCUGCGGGCGGGCGAGUAAUGCCCAGGAAUCUGCCUGGUCUUUGUGGCUAACGUCCGGACACGGGCCCUAAUCCCGUACACUUUCUGAUGAGCCUUGGUCGUAUUAGCUAGUGGGAUUGGUAAAGGCCUACCAAGGCGACGAUCCGUAACCGGUCUGAGAGGAUGAUCAGCCACACUGGAACUGAGACACGGUCCAGACUCCUACGGGAGGCAGCAGUGGGGAAUAUUGGACAAUGGGCGAAAGCCUGAUCCAGCCAUGCCGCGUGAGUGAAGAAGGUCUUCGGAUUGUAAAACACUGUAAGUAGGGAGGCGUUACCAACAGAGUAAGCCCCGGCUAACUUCGUGCCAGCAGCCGCGGUAAUUC
rnacentral:rRNA from 1 species